AGCUAAAGUCAAGAAUUAAACACACAUGAACCAAAAACAGAAUGACCUGCUACAUCCUUCCAUGAUAAAAACCUGACAUAGAUCUUGAAUUAACAUUAAUUUUUUGGAUUUUGGUUGUAAUAAUCCAGACUUUAUUGUGCUUUUUUUAAAAUUAUUGUUUAAUUUUUCCAUGUAGCUGGUGCCCUGCUGCCUGUAGAGGAAUACCAACAACACGAACAAGAUAACCUAAAGAAAAUUCAGGAGAAACUAGAGCUGCACGAUGUUAAAAAUCACACAACAGUGGUGUGAUUAUGGAAGAUUGACCUUUAGCAAGUGACGUCACGCUCUCCAGAACUCCGCCCGCUCCGCCAUGACGGACAUCAAAACAACCUAUGCACUCCUGUAAAGCCUGUCAAAAAACGGACAUGUGGUGGCAUAAUAUCGCUUUGAUUUAGUUGAUUUCACUUUAAAAAUGGUCACAGGGAUGCUGCGAGGUCGGCUACACAAACAGACAAGGAUAGAAAUCAAUCUUGUCAUCUUAUUGCAAUGAGGAAAUAUGGCGGCGACGGAUAGCAGCUGUCAAUCAUAAUGACUGUCAGCACUCGGUUUAACAAUCGCGGAUUUGCAGUGAACACUUUUUACAAGCAAGCGUGGCGUUCAUGUCGCCCAGCUGAUCUCAGAACAAGAGCAGCGUGUGUGAGAGCGAAGAGCGAGGAAGAGGAGGAGGAAGCAUAAGGCCAUCGCAUGUCAAAUGAAGUCAGGGCGGUGACGACUGCUUGGCUCUUUAGGUAGCCUACUGGGAUCAGAAACUGCUUCAGGCUGCUUUCUGUUCUGCCUGGUAAGUUUUUUAAAGCAUUUAAAUUUAGUUCAUACCACAUUAAUAAACUGCUGCAUCUAAAUCCCACAGUUUGAGGUUUUUGACAGCAGUAAAAUCAGAACUUUUUGUAGUUCAUGGGAUGAUGCAUACAUGCAAUUCCAGUUAAAGGGGAGAAUGUUUACAGCCAUCUUGUUUUAAAGUUUCAAUUAUUGUGUGUUUGUAGUUCUAUCAUGAUGCAGAUCUAAAACUUGAUUGAAUGAUAACUGUUUAAGUUGGUUAAGAAUAAUCCAAAAAUGUGUGUCAACUGAUUAGUUGCAGAACUAAAAUAAAAGAACAGCAUGCACAAAUAAUAAGAAUAUCAAUUAGAGUAGAAUUUUACAUUUUUCAGAAACAAAAAACAUUAAUUAAACCUUUUUUUGAAUUCUCAGUGACCAAAUGACGUCGCAGCCAGGAUGUGACAACAAGCUCAAUUCAAACGUUGUGCUGCCUUCUUGUCAGGCGUCUUCCUCCAUUGCACAGAUAUUUAAUCUGGAAGCCAGCGCAGGUCAGGUGUUCGCUGUCAAACUGACAAACAUUAACCUGCCUCAGAACGUACGAGUUCAGUCACGCAGCUCCGUGAGCGAGACUGAAACUAUCAGAGAACCUGAGGGUGAGCACCGAGUGUGAGUUUUAAUGAAGUGUGCAUCUGGCUCCUGAACAUGCCAGCAGAAACACCCCGGCCCCAGGGUGCAAAGUGCCAUCCUGAGGUUGACUGGAUGAGUAGCAGCCCUUUAAAUGCUCGUGUGAAAGCAUCGGUUUGAAUAGACGAGGCUGGCAGAAAGCCAGCAUAACACGCUGGAAAGAUGCCUUUAUAUAGGAAAUGCCCAGUUCAAAGUGUCUAAAGGCCACCUAAUAUGAUUCAUUCAACAAGUUACUAGAGAUUCAUGGGCUUUGCAAAACAUGUUCAUUACC